rnacentral:tRNA from 2 species
GCGGGUUUAGCCAAGCAGGAAAGGCAACGGCCUUCCAAGCCGUCACGCGCGGGUUCGAUCCCCGCAACCCGCUCCA